ensembl:miRNA microRNA 142
ACCCAUAAAGUAGAAAGCACUACUAACAGCACUGGAGGGUGUAGUGUUUCCUACUUUAUGGAUG